UGAGGAAUAUUGGUCAAUGGUCGGAAGACUGAACCAGCCAUGCCGCGUGCAGGAAGAAUGCCUUAUGGGUUGUAAACUGCUUUUAUAUGGGAAGAAUAAGGCGUACGUGUACGUUGAUGACGGUACCAUAUGAAUAAGCAUCGGCUAACUCCGUGCCAGCAGCCGCGGUAAUACGGAGGAUGCGAGCGUUAUUCGGAAUCAUUGGGUUUAAAGGGUCUGUAGGCGGGCUAUUAAGUCAGGGGUGAAAGGUUUCAGCUUAACUGAGAAAUUGCCUUUGAUACUGGUAGUCUUGAAUAUCUGUGAAGUUCUUGGAAUGUGUAGUGUAGCGGUGAAAUGCUUAGAUAUUACACAGAACACCGAUUGCGAAGGCGGGGGACUAACAGACAAUUGACGCUGAGAGACGAAAGCGUGGGGAGCGAACAGGAUUAGAUACCCAAGUAGUCCCUGAGCGGGCUGGCAAGGCGCAU
rnacentral:rRNA from 1 species